rnacentral:miRNA from 1 species
UAGUGCUUUCUACUUUAUGGAU